rnacentral:rRNA from 1 species
UUCUUUAUAGCUUGCUAUGGAGGAUAAUUAGUGGCAGACGGGUGAGUAAUGCAUAGGAAUCUACCUAGUAGUAUGGGAUAGCCACUAGAAAUGGUGGGUAAUACUGUAUAAUCCCUGCGGGGGAAAGAUUUAUCGCUAUUAGAUGAGCCUAUGUUAGAUUAGCUAGUUGGUAGGGUAAAGGCCUACCAAGGCGAUGAUCUAUAGCUGGUCUGAGAGGAUGAUCAGCCACACUGGAACUGAGAUACGGUCCAGACUCCUACGGGAGGCAGCAGUGGGGAAUAUUGGACAAUGGGCGCAAGCCUGAUCCAGCUAUGCCGCGUGAGUGAGGAAGGCCUUAGGGUUGUAAAACUCUUUCAGUAGGGAAGAUAAUGACGGUACCUACAGAAGAAGUCCCGGCAAACUCCGUGCCAGCAGCCGCGGUAAUACGGAGGGGGCAAGCGUUGUUCGGAAUUAUUGGGCG